ACUGAGGUCUAUCCCGACUGGCUCCUCUCGGUAGAGCUGUGUCGUUGGAAACGCCUCAAAAAACAUACCUGUGGUAUCGCUUUACCCAUUCGGCUACUGCCAUUAGCUUUGUGGGGUCAAAAAAACUACAGAACAAAA